CGUGGUAGAGUAAUAAUUACUGGUCUGAUUAAUCAGACCAGUAAUUAUUACUCUACCACG
rnacentral:miRNA from 1 species